UACGUAGGGAGCAAGCGUUGUCCGGAAUCAUUGGGCGUAAAGGGCUCGUAGGUGGCCAACUAAGUCAGACGUGAAAUCCCUCGGCUUAACCGGGGAACUGCGUCUGAUACUGGAUGGCUUGAGUUUGGGAGAGGGAUGCGGAAUUCCAGGUGUAGCGGUGAAAUGCGUAGAUAUCUGGAGGAACACCGGUGGCGAAGGCGGCAUCCUGGACCAACACUGACACUGAGGAGCGAAAGCCAGGGGAGCAAACGGG
rnacentral:rRNA from 1 species